UACGUAGGCAGCGAGCGUUGUUCGGAGUUACUGGGCGUAAAGGGUGUGUAGGCGGUUUUUUAAGUUUGGUGUGAAAUCUCCCGGCUCAACCGGGAGGGUGCGCCGAAUACUGAGGGACUUGGAGUGCGGGAGAGGAAAGUGGAAUUCCUGGUGUAGCGGUGAAAUGCGUAGAUAUCAGGAGGAACACCGGUGGUGUAGACGGCUUUCUGGACCGUAACUGACGCUGAGACACGAAAGCGUGGGUAGCAAACAGG
rnacentral:rRNA from 1 species